CUUAAGAGAGUAACUGGAAUCCUGGUGACCUUGUGAGGGAAACAGCAAAGGAAGAAUGGGAAGAAAGUUGAAAAUCCCAGUAGGACUGCCCCGUUGCCAUGCCUGUGGCGCAGGACGUGCGUGCAACAGCUGUUGACACGAGAAGACAAAGAACUCCAAGUCCCUGCUGCCCCAGUGAAGGCAGCUGAGGAACCACUCGGAAAAUAGAUCUGCAGAGAGCUGCCAAUGGUGAUGGUGUCUCCCUGGCACCAGCUCCACAACCUGAAGCCUGUCUCCGAUCAGUCGCAUAGACUGGAAGGGUACAGAGAGACACAACAUCCGGGGACUGGCUGCACUUUCUAUUUUGCAGCCAAGUAUUUUGGCGUCAUGGAGAUUAGGACUUGACUGGCCUUGGUGGAAAAUUGUUCCAGUCUAUGC